rnacentral:lncRNA from 1 species
GUGCAAUAAAAAAGUACAAUAUGUACCUCUGAGAUGUAGUAAAGUAGAAGUAUAAAGUGGCAUCAUUUGGAAAUAUUCAAGUAAAAUACACUACUUAUAUACUUGGUUCCAGUCCACCGCUGAUCUCCUUUUAUUGUGAAGGCCAAAGUAGCGGAAGUAGUGUGAGUGUUUCCGGGUCGCACACUUAGCAGGUCAGCUAAGUGGAAAUGAAGACACAAACACGGCGUACUUUUCUUUAGUCUUCUUCGACUCCAUCUGUAGAACAUGUCCACAUUGCAGGAUGCUCAACAUGAAUCCAGACGGCGGCUCGCGGACCUCUGAUUGGACGUUUGGAGACAUCCGGAUAUGAAAAGGAGCAAAGUGCUGGAUGUUGUUUUAAAGGCCGACAUGGAGCUGCGGAGAGAAGCAGGUGCUCCUUCCAGCCAGAUCCAGUAGGCCCAGAAGAGAAUGGAGCCAGAGGAGGCCCACGUUGGAGCCGGUCCACCGGUGGUCUGCUGGAGACCCCCCUGGGAGGCGAGACCUCCACCACACCUGUCUGAUUACGCUGUCGGCUCCCUCCUCGUGGUCGACCCACAGCCAGCCCUGAUGAAUACAUUGCCAUGAGGUUCUUUCCAACGUCUCCUGCAAUCACGGCUUCCAACAUCUGAUCCACGUUGGGAUCAAAUAUCUUCCAUUCCUUCUUUGAUGCUGCGACAGGCCACGCCCCUCUCUUCAUCACGUGCCCUCUUCAUCAUUACUGGUAGGUUGCAAGCACUUCAUAUUUGUCUGGUGUGUCUUCAGAAACCCUCUUAACUUCCAAGAUCUACAGACCUGUUAUUCAUGGCUCAACUGUUCCAUAGCGAGUUGUUUUGAUUGUCCAUCAUGGGUUGUCAUAAGCACAGUCUGUCCUGAGGGUGAAUCACCCCCCUACCCUGCUAUCACCCAACCCUGGGGGUGUCUUAUAUCUUCCCAUAGCAAUUGAUGAUGGGUUCCUCCUCACAAAGGAUGUGUUUCAGCCCAUCAAGCUUUCGCACCCUAGCUCUGGUCUUUCCCAAUGUUCAGUAGUCUUUCCGAGCAGUCAACGUUGUCCCUCAGUCGCCAGCUCGUCUUUGUUAGUCACUUCUGGCAUCUGGGACCAAGUUACUCUCUCUCUG